rnacentral:rRNA from 1 species
GAGAGUUUGAUCCUGGCUCAGGAUGAACGCUGGCGGCGUGCUUAACACAUGCAAGUCGAGCGAAGCAUUAAAACCGAUUUCUUCGGAAAGAAGUUUUGAUGACUGAGCGGCGGACGGGUGAGUAACGCGUGGGUGACCUGCCUCAUACAGGGGGAUAACAGACAGAAAUGUCUGCUAAUACCGCAUAAGCGCACAGUGCUGCAUGGCACAGUGUGAAAAACUCCGGUGGUAUGAGAUGGACCCGCGUCUGAUUAGCUAGUUGGUAAGGUAACGGCUUACCAAGGCGACGAUCAGUAGCCGGCCUGAGAGGGUGAACGGCCACAUUGGGACUGAGACACGGCCCAAACUCCUACGGGAGGCAGCAGUGGGGAAUAUUGCACAAUGGGGGAAACCCUGAUGCAGCGACGCCGCGUGAAGGAAGAAGUAUUUCGGUAUGUAAACUUCUAUCAGCAGGGAAGAAAAUGACGGUACCUGACUAAGAAGCCCCGGCUAACUACGUGCCAGCAGCCGCG